GAGAAAUUGUUGGAUUUCAAGGAAUCAAGCAAGUAAAGGUGCUGAACCCCCCGAUAAGGGCAAAGAUAUCAUGCUUGAGGAUCGAGAAUAUGAGUACUCCUACCACUCCAAAUUCCCAUUAUAAUUUGUGCUAAGUCAUCACCUAAGGAGUCUUAAAUACGCAAGAGAGAAGCUAUAGAGGGUUGAUGGAGGUGUAGAGCUCGAUUUCAAGAUACGAGAGAGAUAAGCAAAGAUCGGCUUGAUUGGAGAAAAUUUGGUGACAUGCAACCUAUCCAAACCGUGGAUGCAUGAUGGAUUCAAAGUGUAAGAAAAAUGGAAGUGUACAAGUGGGGAAGGUUAGCCGUGGUGGCAUACCAGAAGUGGUAAUGGGCGACCAGUAAGAAACAUUUGCUAGAGACUCACCCAAAUCAAUAGUGACGUAGUGUCCCGCUAUUAUGAGAUAGUGAUAGGCCUAGUAUCCGUUCAUCGAUGUUUAUUGUCUAUCGCGGAUAGGUAAAGGAAUCUCGUAGCAUCUUACUCCGAGUCGCUCCGCUGCUAGAGGUCGAGUCAUUUAUAGCAUAGCGUAUUUAUAAUUAGUGUCAAUGUAAAUGUAUGGUUGGAUAUUAAGGACUUUGAUGUAAUUGCUUACAAUCAUAUGGAGUAAAAGUUAAGUUGAUUAAUUAUGUUUAUUGUUCAAUUCAUGUCACAAGAGUUAUGCAGUUUAAAGCAUUAACUGUAACACCUUGUACUUGAUAUGGUGACUAAUAAA